UUUGAUUCUGUCAAAUGAGAUUAUGUGGGUAUGGUUCUCUCUGAAUUUAUGUUUUCUUUUGUUUUUAGGAUUUUCUCAGCUAUGUCAUGUAAAGCCCUGUCUUAAACUCACUUUGGGGGCUCUUUUACAUCCUGCUCUGGACUGCAGAGCAGAGACUCACCUCACUCAAUCUGUGCAAUGAAUUGAUUUUUGUCAAUCUUUGCAAACAAUGGUUGGAAGAACAAGCAUAUUGGAGCGUCUUUCAUAUCCUAUAAUAUGGUUGUCAGACCCUGUGGGUUAAAGGGUAGUUACUUGCUAUGAUUGAAAAAUCUUCCCUAUGAGAAGGGCUUAUCUAUAUAUUUUUGUUUGUUUGUUUUGGAAGCCCCAAAAACACAGAAGAGAAGCAUUUAUAGUCACAAACAAAGGAAUGCCAGAAGCCAUUAUAUAUGAGAAAAUACAAAAAUAAAUAAAAUCUUGUCUUAGAGCUUUUAGAGGUAAAAAGUAUAUUUCUGUUUUGUGUAAGGAAACUAAAAUUUCUCUUUGGCCUGACAAUAUUUUGAUGUUUUAAACUUGCUUGUAAUUUCUACCUGUGUUUUGAAUUCACCUAUGCCUGGCUAUCCCUUACCAGAUAACAACCCUCUCUAAAACCUUACUGGUGCCUCAUAAAUUCUGGCUCCUGCUGACCAAAUAACAAUUCUCUCUAUAUCUCAGUGGCAACUUAUAAAUUCUAAUGUCUGGAGCUGAAUUUAUUUUCCACCUUGAAAUGUUAGCCACGUAGAUCCAUAACCUGCUAUUUGCCUUUGUAUUAUGAUUGUCAAAAUCUUGUUAGCUGUAAGUACCUUAGACACCCACCUCCUUUGUAACUUUUUGUGCUGUAAAAACAUUUUCCUGAUGAUCAGGGGGAUGAUCUCUAGCAUGGAAUCUUGUAAGAGACACUCCUGGCCAGCUUUUGUGUACA
rnacentral:lncRNA from 1 species